rnacentral:rRNA from 1 species
CCCCACUAUGGCUUUGGCCCUAAACAUUGGAUAGUGCUGCAUACAACCACUGAUCCGCCCGGGAACUACGAGCAGCAGCUUAAAACCCAAAGGACUUGGCGGUGCUUUAGACCCCCCUAGAGGAGCCUGUUCUAAAACCGAUAACCCCCGUUCAACCUCACCUUUCCUUGUUCUCCCCGCCUAUAUACCGCCGUCGUCAGCUUACCCUAUGAAGGCCCCUUAGUAAGCACAAUUGGUACAGCCCAAAACGUCAGGUCGAGGUGUAGCGUAUGGAAAGGGAAGAAAUGGGCUACAUUCCCUACUACAGCGAAUUACGGAUAAUACCACUGAAAUGUGUAUCUAGAAGGAGGAUUUAGCAGUAAGCAGAAAAUAGAGCGUUCUGCUGAAACCGGCCCUGAAGCGCGCACACA